rfam:Phialocephala scopiformis strain CBS 120377 unplaced genomic scaffold LY89scaffold_40, whole genome shotgun sequence.
UCCGGUAUGGUGUAUCGGUAACAUAUGGCCUUUUCACGGCCGAGCGCGGGGUUCGAUUCCCCGUACCGGAA